AUCAUGGUGGCCUUUCUGUUGUUCACGGGACUGGCUAUACUGUCUGCUAUUGGAGCUACUGUCAUGGGGCUGGACGCGGUGAAGAAUCUGAUGUUCCGAUUGGGCAACUCCAUGGAAACUGAGAGGCUCAUCAACUCAGACCUGGGGUUUCCAUGCAGGACGGUGGAGACGGCCACAGACACCAUCCUCCCGGCCCCGCCACCCCCAGCCGGAGGCUCCGAUCCCUGGACACCUUCAGAGGGCUGUCCCUGGUCAUCAUGGUGUUUGUGAACUACGGAGGAGGGAGGUACUGGUUCUUCAGACACGAGAGCUGGAACGGGCUCACAGUUGCUGAUUUGGUCUUUCCCUGGUUUGUUUUCAUCAUGGGCACAUCUAUAUCCCUGUCUGUCAGCUCAGCCCUGCGAUGUGGUUUGUCACGUUUCUCUCUGUUCACCAAGGCAGUCUGGAGGAGUGUUCAGCUCUUCCUCAUAGGACUCCUCAUCAUCAACCCCAACUACUGCCAGGGACCACUAUCAUGGGACUCCCUGCGUAUCCCUGGCGUGCUUCAGCGUCUGGCCUUCUCCUAUCUCGUGGUGGUCUCUCUGGACCUCUGUGUGGCCUGGAACAGCCUGGACAACCUUCCUGUGGAUGCUUGGUGGUACUCUGCUCGUGAGUUCCUGCUCUACUGGCCAGCCUGGCUGUGUGUGGUCGUCUUGGAAACCGUGUGGCUCUGUCUCACCUUCCUGCUCCCUGUUCCUGACUGCCCAAGUGGUUAUUUGGGCCCAGGUGGUAUUGGGGACAUGGGCCAGUACCCAAACUGCACUGGGGGAGCAGCUGGAUAUGUAGACCGUUGGCUACUGGGAGAGAACCACAUCUACCAAACACCUUCCUCACGGGUGAUCUACAAGUCUCACCUGCCCUUUGACCCAGAGGGAGUCCUUGGCAGCAUCAACUCUGUCCUCAUGGCUUUCCUGGGACUACAGGCAGGAAAGAUUCUCCUCCACUACAAGGACCAGCAUUCCAGUAUAAUGGCCCGGUUCCUCAUAUGGAGCCUGGUUCUGGGAAUCAUAUCAGCCGUUCUGACCAAAUGUUCACUUAAUGAAGGCUUUAUCCCCAUCAACAAGAAUCUAUGUUACCAUGGAAUAGUGAUACUGGAAUCAUCCGUGUUAAUAGUGUGGAAUAAUCGACCUCUGAGUUGUCUGUCAGGUCUCUCUCCUACGUGACCACCCUGGCGUGUUUUGCCUUGCUGCUCCUGGUGUUGAUCUACUACACAGUAGAUGUGAAGAGGUGGUGGUCUGGGGCGCCCUUCUACUACCCCGGUAUGAACUCCAUCCUGGUGUACGUGGGCCACGAGGUCCUGGAGGAGUACUUCCCGUUCCGCUGGCGCAUGGCCGACAGCCAAUCCCACGCAGAGCACCUGACCCAGAACCUAUUGGCCACUUCCUGCUGGGUCCUCAU